rnacentral:misc_RNA from 1 species
GGAUCAUUUGUGAAUGGACUGUUUGCACAUGUGCAUGACAUUCUUUCAACCCCUGUGAAUCCCAUACACUUACAAUGCAAAAAAUGCAUCAACUCAAUUCUAAAUGAAGGGUGCAGCCAAUUGUGUUAAAUAUUGCAAAUUGCAGAAUUCCGUGAGUCAAUGUUUGCUUGAAUGUAGAAAUGUACUUGGGUAUCACCUUGGUACAUCAUUUGUUCAUGUUGGUGUUGUUUCUAUGUUGUCUUCCAUGCCAUAUUGGAUGUGGAUAGUAAAUCAACAUGCAUCAGAUCAUGUCAUUUUGUCGCUGUUUGCUGUCAUCCCAAACCAACUUGAGCAAUUGAAUG